CAAGAUGGGAGCUGAGGCCAGGAGAGAGGCUUCAGGAGGAUCAGAGAUCAUCUUCAGCACAGCGGACAUCACACAGAGAGCUGUGCUACUGAGCUUCCAGGAGAUCAAGAGGAGACUUCCCACAGCAAGAUUUUAAAUAAAAUGAAAGAUUCAAUGUUGACGCUGAGGAAGACGACUAAGGUGUACGACGUGCUCUGCCUUAAAUCUUCAGCAGCGUUGGAACAUGAGAACUCGAGGGAUGGAGAGAGCGUGCCAAGCUCUAAAAGUGACGGUGCAGAGGAAGUCCAGCGAUGGAAUUGUGUUUCUGUGUGAGGCACAAAUACUAGGAGACUGGGAAAUAGUUGACACCACUUUUCCCAAGGAUGAAGAUCACCUAAAGUGUGUCACUUUGCCAUGCAGAUUUGAUGCUCUGCAGAGAAGCCUUCUGUGAGGGAGAGAUGUAAAUAGACGAGCCUUUUAUCUACAUUUAAAUCAUGUCAACUUCUCUAGGCUGGUUGAGGGGGAAUUGGAGAAAAAUGGUAGUGUUAGGUGUGACUGUUGUUAUUGUAACUGUGAUUUUUCUUAUAAGUGAAUUGCCCAGAGACAGACCUGAAUCCAUUCCAGCGACUGCAUCAUCACAGGCCACGGUGAAGCGAACCAAACGUAGUGAAACAGGGUUGCGGGGGGCGCUGGAGCCUAUCCCAGCUGUCAUAGGGUGAGAGGCAGGGUACACCCUGGACGGGUCGCCAGUCUGUCGCAGGGCUAACACACAGGGACAGACAACCAUUCACCCUCACAUUCACUCGCACAUUCACACCUAGUGGCAAUUUGGAUUAUCCAAUUAACCUAUCCCCACAAGCUGCAUGUCUUUGGACGGUGGGAGGAAGCCGGAGUACCCGGAGAGAACCCACGCAAACACGGGGAGAACAUGCAAACUCCACACAGAAAGACCCCGGCCUGAUGGUGGAAUUGAACUCAGGACCUUCUUGCUGUGCGGCAACAGUGCUAACCACCGUGCCAUGUAAAGGUUUAAAUAGUUCAUGGCGGGAAUAUGAUGUUUGGGUAGGUUACAAUCCAAUGGUAGCUAUAGAGUGUAAUAAUCAGAAGCUUGGUUACCCCUAUCACACUUAUUGGAAGGGCCCAUGUGAUUACUGGUCUACCAUAGUGGAGUAUUCUGG
ensembl:lncRNA